AGGAGUGAUGCCUGCCCAGUGACACUGUUUAACGGCCGCGGUAUCCUGACCGUGCGAAGGUAGCGUAAUCACUCGUCUUUUAAAUAAAGACUAGAAUGAAUGGCUAAACGAAGUUCUAUCUGUCUCUUACAAACAAUCAGUGAAAUUGAUCUCCCCGUGCAAAAGCGGGAAUAACCCCAUAAGACGAGAAGACCCUGUGGAACUUUAAGUAUAGGUCACAAUCAUCAACCAACUAUUCAACAGAAAACACCCUGUAAAACACCUGACUUAAAACUUUCGGUUGGGGCGACCUCGGAGGAUAAUAAAACCCCCGAAAAUUACUACCAAGAUAGCACAAAUCUAAGUGUCUACGACAAAACGAUCCAAUAUACAUGAUCAACGAACCAAGCUACCCCAGGGAUAACAGCGCAAUCCCCUCUUAGAGUCCAUAUCAAUGACGGGGGUUUACGACCUCGAUGUUGGAUCAGGACACCCUAAUGGUGCAACCGCUAUUAAGGGUC
rnacentral:rRNA from 1 species